rnacentral:tRNA from 1 species
GGAGAGAUGGCUGAGUGGACGAAAGCGGCGGAUUGCUAAUCCGUUGUACGAGUUAUUCGUACCGAGGGUUCGAAU